rnacentral:piRNA from 1 species
AGCCCUGAUGAUGCCCACUCCUGAGC